AUGCACCCUAUUCCCUAUGUAGUGCACUACUUUAGACCAGGGCCCAUGCACCCUAUUCCCUAUGUAGUGCACUACUUUAGACCAGGACCCAUGCACCCUAUUCCCUAUGUAGUGCACUACUUUAGACCAGGACCCAUGCACCCUAUUCCCUAUGUAGUGCACUACUUUAGACCAGGGCCCAUGCACCCUAUUCCCUAUGUAGUGCACUACUUUAGACCAGGCCCCAUGCACCCUAUUCCCUAUGUAGUGCACUACUUUAGACCAGGCCCCAUGCACCCUAUUCCCUAUGUAGUGCACUACUUUAGACCAGGCCCCAUGCACCCUAUUCCCUAUGUAGUGCACUACUUUAGACCAGGACCCAUGCACCCUAUUCCCUAUAUAGUGCACUACUUUAGACCAGGGCCCAUGCACCCUAUUCCCUAUGUAGUGCACUACUUUAGACCAGGGCCCAUGCACCCUAUUCCCUAUGUAGUGCACUACUUUAGACAAGGGCCCAUGCACCCUAUGCCCUAUGUAGUGCACUACUUUAGACCAGGACCCAUGCACCCUAUUCCCUAUGUAGUGCACUACUUUAGACCAGGGCCCAUGCACCCUAUUCCCUAUGUAGUGCACUACUUUAGACCAGGACCCAUGCACCCUAUUCCCUAUGUAGUGCACUACUUUAGACCAGGGCCCAUGCACCCUAUUCCCUAUGUAGUGCACUACUUUAGACCAGGGCCCAUGCACCCUAUUCCCUAUGUAGUGCACUACUUUAGACCAGGACCCAUGCACCCUAUUCCCUAUAUAGUGCACUACUUUAGACCAGGGCCCAUGCACCCUAUUCCCUAUAUAGUGCACUACUUUAGACCAGGGCCCAUGCACCCUAUUCCCUAUAUAGUCCACUACUUUAGACCAGGACACAUGCACCCUAUUCCCUAUGUAGUGCACUACUUUAGACCAGGGCCCAUGCACCCUAUUCCCUAUAUAGUGCACUACUUUAGACCAGGACCCAUAGGCCCGAGAAGUAGUGCACUGUGUAGGGAAUAG
rnacentral:lncRNA from 1 species